GAGAUGACUGGCAGAAUCCGUGACCAGGGAAAAGAGUCGGUGGAAGAAGAUUGGAAGAAAUUUAAAGACUAUCUACAGAAAUACUAUAAAAUUAAUGAAUGUUAAAUUGAGGUCUGAUUGAAAAUAACUGGUAUUGGCAAAAGCCUUGUGAUUAAGAGCAUGGAAUAUUUGAUCGAUAAAGUUGUAAUAUUUAUAUAUAAAUAGAUUAACUUUUUGAGUUAAGAUAAAGAAAGGAGGGUAAGGAUUUGCUGAAAGGAGUUCUUAAAUGGAAAUACAAGCGGGGAGAUGUGGGAAGUCAAAGAAUUAGGUAAUGAUAAGAAGGUUAAAUGAAAGUAUAAUACUUUUUAAAUUUUUCUGUUUCUUUUUCUUUUUUUCUCUUUUCUUUUUUUUGUUAUGGAUAUUGUUAUCUCUGUUUGCUUUUUGUUAUUGUUAUCGUUGUUUUCUGUUUGUCGAAUUUUUGUAUUUUUGCAUCUUUUGGAAUUUCUUUUGU